AUUGCGUCGUCCCCCCUCACCCAUGUCCCGAAAGGGUGGCGGAAGUUGGCUUCCCGUGCAGCGUUUGCGGCUAGCCUGAAACACGGUUCCCUCGCCGCGGACGUCGCGACAAGUGGUGGUCGUCGAGAUUGUGCGCGAGUCGCCGGCAAGCUGCGUCGAGGAGAGCAUUUGGACCCUGUGCGAGAUGAGUCCUUCACGGAGGGGCAAUUUCCAACGAUUGCGACCCCAGGUCAGGC
rnacentral:rRNA from 1 species